UUUAGAGUAAAUGACCAAAGCUCGAAAAGGACGGAAGGAAGCAGGUGAACGUGAAACUCACCGUCCCUUCCUACCUUGCCACUGCACGCACGCCUGCCGGCCCGCACCACAGCGACCACACGCCCGGCCGCCGGCGGCCUUCCCGUCCCCUUGCCUCUCAUCGCUGGAACGUAUGCCGCUCGAUGACAGGGCCCCACCAGCGCCGCCGACGUCGCCGUCCAUCCCCGAGUCGAGAUCUGAGUGUCGCACUGAUCCCAAUCGACAACCAAUUCUGAAAAUGAUUGUUCAGCCCGCUUUGGACUGUCAUCGUAGCUAUCCGGUAAGGCAGAGGCGGGACAAACAGAUCCGAAAAGAUUACCAAUUCUGGAAAUGAGUUCAAGCAGUUUGGACCAAUCCUUGGAAUGAUUGUCUUUUCACCAUACACCAUAUGUCCAUAUGGCAGCUGAAUAUAGCACAUCCAGGUCCACCACAAUGUCUCAAUUCUGAGUGGAGAUUUGCAUGUGCAGAUCAAUGCACCGGACAACUUUGCUGCAUUGUUGUUGAAUGCAUGAGGUAUUAUUUUCUAAAAUUAGAGACCAAAAACAUGCACAUAAGAGAAAUCCUGCCGUCUGUAGCAGGAUAAUGCAGUGUACGGUAAUGGAUUAACGUAUCCCUGUGACUACGAACUAAAUUGUCGUUUAAGUAUAUGCUACUAUUUUUCUCUAUCUAAACAUGAGUGCUCACUUCAAUUGCCAUGCAUUUUCUAAAGGUAUUAGUUUUCAUAUAAGCCGUUGAAAGGCUCUUUUUGCAUAUGCUCACUACAUUUCUGUUGCCUUGCAUUGUCGUAUCAUGCCGCAGGGAUCGUACUCGCUGGUUUCGCAAGCCGCAUCGGUGCUCCUCUCCCCGUCUCCGUGACUAGCAGGACAUUCACCUCCAUCUCCAUGGCGCUGCCUUCCUCUCCCCUCUCAGAUGCCAUCCUCCUCUGCCUAGAUUAUAUACCUCAUAAAUGAAUAAUCCCUUCAGCUUUAGCUGAUGAUCCAUUCGAAUCAUUUGGUAUAUCAAAUUUUACUUAUUGUUCUUCUGUUUUCAGAUACUGCUGUAUAUGUUCCACUAUUGUCCAACAGAGAGCACCAUAUGACUUCUGUUGCAGUAACUUGAUGAUUUCGACUUUACUUUUCAUCUAUUCAGAGAUGUAGGCGAGAUCGGUUGAAGGAAUAUGGCUUGCAUGGGUACAAGACUGCACUGAGAUCCUGAAGCAUGGCACUCUGUGUCCGUGGCGACACUGUUGAGCACUCUCAGUGUGUGCAGGAUUUAGCUCACAUGUAGUCUAUUGCUUAUUCUUCAGCUGGUCAUUAACAUAAUCCUUGGUUUUUUAUAUUUUGGUGAUCAUUAGCAGCAGACUGCCAUAAAAUAAAAAAGGGUCUUAUAAAUAAAUAUGAUGUACUGGAAGGCUUACACCCAUUUCAACAGGAUGUAAAGAUUUCUUA